UACGUAGGCAGCGAGCGUUUGUUCGGAAUUACUGGGCGUAAAGAGUGUGUAGGCGGUGCUCUAAGUUCGGUGUGAAAUCUCCCGCUUAACUGGGAGGGUGCGCCGGAAACUGGAGUGCUCGAGCGUGGGAGAGGAAAGCGGAAUCCUGGUGUAGCGGUGAAAUGCGUAGAUAUCAGGAGGAACACCUGCGUGUGAUAGCGGCUUUCUGGACCAUUGCUGACGCUGAGACACGGAAAGCGUGGGUAGCAAACAGG
rnacentral:rRNA from 1 species